rnacentral:rRNA from 1 species
UACAGAGGGUGCAAGCGUUGUUCGGAAUUAUUGGGCGUAAAGCGCGUGUAGGCGGCUUGUCAAGUCGGGUGUGAAAGCCCUCAGCUCAACUGAGGAAGUGCGCCCGAAACUGAUGAGCUUGAGUGUCGGAGAGGAUGGCGGAAUACCCCAAGUAGAGGUGAAAUUCGUAGAUAUGGGGUGGAACACCGGUGGCGAAGGCGGCCAUCUGGACGACAACUGACGCUGAGACGCGAAAGCGUGGGGAGCAAACAGG